rnacentral:rRNA from 1 species
UUAUGGCUCGAGGACGAACGCUGGCGGCGUGCUUAACACAUGCAAGUCGAACGAGGUGUGUUGGAGAGCUUGCUCGAAGACAGACCGAGUGGCGGACGGGUGAGUAACGCGUGAACAAUCUGUCUCAUACAGGGGGAUAACGCAUCGAAAGAUGUGCUAAUACCGCGUAGGACCACGGCGUCGCAUGGCGCUGGGGUGAAAGGAGCGAUCCGGUAUGAGGUGAGUUCGCGUCUGAUUAGAUAGUUGGUGAGGUAACGGCCCACCAAGUCAACGAUCAGUAGCCGACCUGAGAGGGUGAUCGGCCACAUUGGGACUGAGACACGGCCCAGACUCCUACGGGAGGCAGCAGUGGGGAAUAUUGGGCAAUGGGCGAAAGCCUGACCCAGCAACGCCGCGUGAAGGAAGAAGGUUUUCGGAUCGUAAACUUCUGUCCUUGGUGAAGAUAAUGACGGUAGCCAAGGAGGAAGCCCCGGCUAACUACGUGCCAGCCGCCGC